rnacentral:rRNA from 1 species
GAAUGCUGACAUAAGUAACGAUAAAGCGGGUGAAAAGCCCGCUCGCCGGAAGACCAAGGGUUCCUGUCCAACGUUAAUCGGGGCAGGGUGAGUCGACCCCUAAGGCGAGGCCGAAAGGCGUAGUCGAUGGGAAACAGGUUAAUAUUCCUGUACUUGGUGUUACUGCGAAGGGGGGACGGAGAAGGCUAUGUUGGCCGGGCGACGGUUGUCCCGGUUUAAGCGUGUAGGCUGGUUUUCCAGGCAAAUCCGGAAAACCAAGGCUGAGGCGUGAUGACGAGGCACUACGGUGCUGAAGCGACAAAUGCCCUGCUUCCAGGAAAAGCCUCUAAGCAUCAGGUAACAUCAAAUCGUACCCCAAACCGACACAGGUGGUCAGGUAGAGAAUACCAAGGCGCUUGAGAGAACUCGGGUGAAGGAACUAGGCAAAAUGGUGCCGUAACUUCGGGAGAAGGCACGCUGAUAUGUAGGUGAAGCGACUUGCUCGUGGAGCUGAAAUCAGUCGAAGAUACCAGCUGGCUGCAACUGUUUAUUAAAAACACAGCACUGUGCAAACACGAAAGUGGACGUAUACGGUGUGACGCCUGCCCGGUGCCGGAAGGUUAAUUGAUGGGGUUAGCGGCAACGCGAAGCUCUUGAUCGAAGCCCCGGUAAACGGCGGCCGUAACUAUAACGGUCCUAAGGUAGCGAAAUUCCUUGUCGGGUAAGUUCCGACCUGCACGAAUGGCGUAAUGAUGGCCAGGCUGUCUCCACCCGAGACUCAGUGAAAUUGAACUCGCUGUGAAGAUGCAGUGUACCCGCGGCAAGACGGAAAGACCCCGUGAACCUUUACUAUAGCUUGACACUGAACAUUGAGCCUUGAUGUGUAGGAUAGGUGGGAGGCUUUGAAGUGUGGACGCCAGUCUGCAUGGAGCCGACCUUGAAAUACCACCCUUUAAUGUUUGAUGUUCUAACGUUGGCCCGUAAUCCGGGUUGCGGACAGUGUCUGGUGGGUAGUUUGACUGGGGCGGUCUCCUCCUAAAGAGUAACGGAGGAGCACGAAGGUUGGCUAAUCCUGGUCGGACAUCAGGAGGUUAGUGCAAUGGCAUAAGCCAGCUUGACUGCGAGCGUGACGGCGCGAGCAGGUGCGAAAGCAGGUCAUAGUGAUCCGGUGGUUCUGAAUGGAAGGGCCAUCGCUCAACGGAUAAAAGGUACUCCGGGGAUAACAGGCUGAUACCGCCCAAGAGUUCAUAUCGACGGCGGUGUUUGGCACCUCGAUGUCGGCUCAUCACAUCCUGGGGCUGAAGUAGGUCCCAAGGGUAUGGCUGUUCGCCAUUUAAAGUGGUACGCGAGCUGGGUUUAGAACGUCGUGAGACAGUUCGGUCCCUAUCUGCCGUGGGCGCUGGAGAACUGAGGGGGGCUGCUCCUAGUACGAGAGGACCGGAGUGGACGCAUCACUGGUGUUCGGGUUGUCAUGCCAAUGGCACUGCCCGGUAGCUAAAUGCGGAAGAGAUAAGUGCUGAAAGCAUCUAAGCACGAAACUUGCCCCGAGAUGAGUUCUCCCUGACUCCUUGAGAGUCCUGAAGGAACGUUGAAGACGACGACGUUGAUAGGCCGGGUGUGUAAGCGCAGCGAUGCGUU